GAUGAAGAACGCAGCGAAAUGCGAUAAGUAAUGUGAAUUGCAGAAUUCAGUGAAUCAUCGAAUCUUUGAACGCGCAUUGCGCCCGCCAGUAUUCUGGCGGGCAUGCCUGUUCGAGCGUCAUUUCAACCCUCAGGCCCCCAGUGCCUGGUGUUGGGGAUCGGCAGCAGGGCGUCAAGCCCGCCGGCCCCGAAAUCUAGUGGCGGUCUCGCUGUAGUCCUCCUCUGCGUAGUAGCACAACCUCGCAGUUGGAACGCGGCGGUGGCCAUGCCGUUAAACACCCCACUUCUGAAAGUUGACCUCGGAUCAGGUAGGAAUACCCGCUGAACUUAAGCAUAUCAAUAAGCGGAGGA
rnacentral:misc_RNA from 1 species